AGUCGAACGGGGAUAUAUUGGAAUGAGGAUUCGUCUGAAGGAAAAUGUAUCUUAGUGGCGGACGGGUGAGUAACGCGUGGGCAACCUACCGUAUACAGGGGGAUAACACUUAGAAAUAGGUGCUAAUACCGCAUAAGCGCACAGCAGUGCAUACUGGAGUGUGAAAAGCCGAGACGGUAUACGAUGGGCCCGCGUCUGAUUAGCCAGUUGGCAGGGUAACGGCCUACCAAAGCGACGAUCAGUAGCCGGCCUGAGAGGGCGGACGGCCACAUUGGGACUGAGACACGGCCCAGACUCCUACGGGAGGCAGCAGUGGGGGAUAUUGCACAAUGGGGGGAACCCUGAUGCAGCGACGCCGCGUGAGUGAAGAAGUAAUUCGUUAUGUAAAGCUCUAUCAGCAGGGAAGAAUAAAUGACGGUACCUGAGUAAGAAGCCCCGGCUAACUACGUGCCAGCAGCCGCGGUAAUACGUAGGGGGCAAGCGUUAUCCGGAUUUACUGGGUGUAAAGGGAGCGUAGACGGCGAUGCAAGCCAGAUGUGAAAGCCCGCGGCUCAACUGCGGUAGUGCAUUUGGAACUGUAUGGCCGGAGUGCAGGAGAGGCAGGCGGAAUUCCUAGUGUAGCGGUGAAAUGCGUAGAUUUUUUGGAGAACACCAGUGGCGAAGGCGGCCUGCUGGACUGUAACUGACGUUGAGGCUCGAA
rnacentral:rRNA from 1 species